CUUGUAGCUGACGACCUCAGGUUGCAGCUGCUGGUUGGUGCUGGGAUGGUUUGAGCAAAGUCUGCGGCUCAUCAACAGCUGGGCUGGUGAUUUGAAGUUGUCAACUGGAGUGUUGCGGUAUUCAAGGAGACUGAGGUGGACUAUCCUUUUGACCCUUUGCAGCCAGGUCCAAUCUACUUUUUAACUCCUCGCAAGUGUGGCUUGUUUGGUGUCUGCUGUGAAGGAAUACCACAACAUGUCAACUACUUGAUUGAUGAAGGCAUGUCAUCCAGCAAAGGCAGCAGUGCAGUCAUCAAUUACUUGCACCAUUUCUUCACCAACUACGGAGUUGGGAAACACGUGUUGACCUGAAUUGUGAUAACUGCAAUGGCCAAAACAAGAACAAGUUUCUGCUCUGUGAAGCGCUAUGAUGAAACUGGCUCUUAUUUCGACCGCCACAGAAAAAGGAAGACCCAGAGUUACCUCUGCUGCAGAGGAUACAAUCAUUAGCAGUACCAGCCUUAGAAAUUGCAGCCCCAAUGAAUGCUUCACAGAGUUCAAGUAACAGACACAUCUCAACAUCAACUGUUCAGAGGAGACUGCAUCAAUCAGGCCUUCAUGGUCGAAUUGCUGCAAAGAAACCACUAGUAAAGGACACCAAUAAGAAGAAGAGACUUGCUUGGGCCAAGAAACACGAGCAAUAGACAUAAGACCGGUGGAAAUCUGUCCUUUGAUCUGAUUAGUCCAAAUUGGAGAUUUUUGGUUCCAACUGCCAUGUCUUUGUGAGACGCAGAGUAGGUGAACGGAUGAACUCCACAUGUGUGGUUACCACCGUGAGGUGUGAUGGUGUGGAGGUGCUUUGCUGGUGACACUGUUGGUGAUUUAUUUAGAAUUCAAGGCACACUUAACCAGCAUGGCUACCACAGCAUUCUGCAGCGAUACGCUAUCCCAUCUGGUUUGGCGCUUAGUGGGACUAUCAUUUGUUUUUCGACAGGACAAUGACCCAACACACCUCCAGGCCCUGUAAAGGAUAUUUGACCAAGAAGUGCCUAACCCAUUCACUAACCUUACGGUGGCUGCUCACCCCUUUCGCCAACCCAUAGAGCGUAGAGAAUAGGAACUACAAUGUGCGCCAUUGCAAGGUACGCGCUGCUGUGGAGUGCACCAUCGGGCUUCUGAAGGGCAGAUUCCUCAGGCAGAAAUAUUUUAUACAAGCGUGAAAAGGUCUGCAACAUUGUGAGGGUGUGUGCUAUGCUACAUAAUGUGGCACAGCUAAGGAAUGUGGCUUUAACCCCUGACGCUGUUGGUUGUGUUGGCCCCGACGCUGACCCCUAUCCCCAGGCGUUUGACCAAACGCAGCUGCCGUGCACCAGCGAGUG
rnacentral:lncRNA from 1 species